UCAGUUUUUUAUUGUUCAUUAGUUUGUUCCUGUCUGAUAUAGUUUCUCUUGUGCUUUUUAUGGAAUAAAUAAAUGAAUAAAACGGUGGUGUUUAUCGUUCCACAUGUUCUCUGGAGGAUGUUAGUCAUGUCAGUUCCAUCUUUGUUCACUUGCAGAUUUCCUGCCUCAGAACCAUCACUCAGACCUUCUGGAGCUGCUGGCUCGCUCACAUGUUUGAUCUUCACGACUGAAAAGCUGUUCUGAGGACAAACACACAAACAGCAGCUGUGAGUGGGCGGUGCUCCGCCUGGGCUGGGCCCCGCCUGGGCUGGGCCCCGCCUGGGCUGGGCCUGGUUUUAAGGCGGAUCGGGUCCUGGACCGGUCACCAUGUAGCCGUUGAAGGCCGUGGAGUCGGCGUCCACCAUGUCCAGCAGCUCCUUGGCGGCGUGGUGAAAGGGUGGGAUCAGACGCCUCAUCACACCGUCCACGUUCUCAAACUGCCUCUUCCCAUAAGUCAUCUGGCCCACCAUGGCGCCCAGCGCUGCCCCCUGCAGGACCACCCACCACAUACAGCAGCUUUAGCGUCAAAUACGACUCCAGAGCAACGGAACAACGCAACAGAGCAGCAGGUUGGAACUUUUUUCUUUAGUUUUUUAACUUAUUUUUGUAUUUCAUCAACUUGAACCAUAAACACACACAUCAAAUACUCAAUAACUGUCGUAUUUUAACCCUUUAAAUGCCAAGUUCAUAAUGUAAACAAACCACGAUUUUGAUGAAAAAAAACUUUUUUUUUUUCAAAAAUUCUACAUAAAAUUGCAUUUUUUUCAUCCUGUCAUACAUCAGUGAAUAACGCCAACAUUAGUGUUUUUUGUGCUACGUCAAAUUCAGUCCUGAAAAGUAUUUAUUUUUAUCAGAGAACCAUAGUUUUUCAAACCAACACAUAUAGUUCCAUUUUAGAUGCACAUUUAUUCUAUUUUCUGUUCUAUAGUUUUCACAUGUUUUUUCUAUAGUUUUUAGAUGCAGAUUUCUUCUGUAUUCUGUAGUUUUU
rnacentral:lncRNA from 1 species